rnacentral:rRNA from 1 species
AUUGAACGCUGGCGGCAUGCCUUACACAUGCAAGUCGAACGGCAGCACGGGAGCAAUCCUGGUGGCGAGUGGCGAACGGGUGAGUAAUAUAUAGGAACGUGCCCAGUAGGGGGGGAUAACUGCUCGAACGAGCAGAUAAUACCGCAUACGACCUGAGGGUGAAAGGGGGGGAGCGCAAGACCUCACGCUAUUGGAGCGGCCGAUAUCAGAUUAGCUAGUUGGUGGGGUAAAGGCCUACCAAGGCAACGAUCUGUAGUUGGUCUGAGAGGACGACCAGCCACACUGGGACUGAGACACGGCCCAGACUCCUACGGGAGGCAGCAGUGGGGAAUUUUGGACAAUGGGCGCAAGCCUGAUCCAGCAAUGCCGCGUGCAGGAAGAAGGCCUUCGGGUUGUAAACUGCUUUUGUCAGGGAAGAAAUCCUCUAGGUUAAUACCCUUGGGGGGAUGACGGUACCUGAAGAAUAAGCACCGGCUAACUACGUGCCAGCCGCCGCAGUAACAC